GCGCCCUUAGUGUAAGGUAACACACGUCUUACAUCUGCUUUGUUGCGAAGAAGGAUUCAAGACGAACCCGGGGUUCGAUUCCCCGAGGGUGCA